rnacentral:lncRNA from 1 species
GUUAGUCCGGUCUUCCGGAUGAUGACACAUUUUAUCCUAUGGUAUAAAAGAAAGAUAUUUCUUUUAGUUUUAUUUUCUUUGUGAGUAGAAAGGUACAGUGAUUGAGUUGCAGCCCCAGCCCUUUCUCCUUUGACACAAGCUCUCUUUACAUAGCCAUUACUGUCUUCAGACACCAACCUCCACAGUGCUAGAUUACAGUCAUGUGCUACCAUAGCUGGUCCACACCCCCAGGACACAUGUGCACACGCUCGCAUCCUCCCUCCUCCCCCCCACACACACAUUAAAUGGCAUUGUGUGUAUACUCUCUCACACACAUGCAUGAUGCCUGCACACAUGACACAAUGCAUAUUUGAAAGUCAGAGGACACGUGGCUCAGCAGAGAAGACUGGGUUCAAUUUCCAACACUCACGUGGCAGUUUGUAAUUCUAGUCCCAGAGGAUCUAACGUGUGUGGUACACAGACAUACAUGCAGACAAGACACCCAUACAUAUGAAGUGAAACAAUAAUAAAAACAAAUUCAAAAAAGCAUUUAACUAUUGGCAAACUGUCAAGUUCUGAUUUUUGUUUUAACUUGGAAGUUCAGAUCUUAUUAUUAAAGGUGUGAGACUGCAGUUAUUUUCUUGGAGGUGGCAAAGUUAUUUUCUUUGCUCAAGAAAAUCUCUACAGAAUAGUCAGUCAUCCUCAGUCCUUUGGCUGAUCUUCUAAUAAGAAUGGUGACUCACAGAGAACAGAUUCAGCCUGCCUCUAAUCACCUAAGACACGGAGGCUGGGAGUUUGAGGUCAGCCUUAGUUAUUAUGGAAUCCAAGGCUAACCUGGGCUACAUGAGGGACCCUGUCCCAAAAGGGGGAAUGGGAUUAUUUGUGCCUAUGAAGGAGUUCAGAUCACAGCUAGACAUCACACUAGCCAGUUGAUGGUUAGCCAUCCCACGUUGACAGUUAUCCUGCUUCCCAGGUCAGAAGAGGGAAGACUUAGCAUCCCCAGCCUGUGAGAGCUAUGCAUCUGUGCAGGCCAGGGUUUCUACAUUGCUGCUACCAGAGCACUAUGUUACAGAAGGCUGAAUAUACAGAAGCUGAUGUCCUGCGUAUUUCCCAUCAUGCCAUGAAAUAGAGGAUAAAGGGCAUUCCUGAGUAAAUAAAACCAGCAUUGUGCUCCGUGGUGACCUUAAGCAGCACCGAGCCACCAGGCUGCCAUGUUUAUACUGCUGUGUGGUGGUUACACCCCCAUCCCUCACCUGCAGAAAUCUCCACACAAAAGGUGGCAAAAAUGUUUGUAUGAUACUCUCUUGUCUGACUCCCAGAAAGGGAGGAGUCCAGGGUGCCACGGGCCAAACCUGGGGAACUAUUUAUGUGUAACAGUGUAGAUGGUAGUGCUGUUUGUGAAAGGGGCCAUUUGUAUGAACCAUGGUUGGAUAAAUUCACCUCUGAAUAGAGGAACAUCACACAGCCAUUGAACCUCCUAAUAUGUCUGGGUUCUUUGUUUGGCUCUCUCUCUCUCUCUCUCUCUCUCUCUCUCUCUCUCUCUCUCUCUCUGGAAAUCAAAUAUAGGACCUCUGGCAUAGUAAAUGUAUGUUUUUCCACUGAGCUGCAUAGGUGCACACAUGCACAAAAUCCCUGAGACAUGAUUUUUUAAAAAUAUUUCCCGUUUAUGAGUGUUUUGCCAUUUGCAUGUGUGCCUGGUACCCAUGGAGGUUAGAAGGGGGUGUCCGGUCCCCUGGGAUGGGAGUUGUGAGCCACCACGAAGAUGCUGGGAAACAUCUCUCCAGCGCCACUCCCCCCUAGCCCCCAAGACAUACAUUUAAGAGAAACAGAGGACAAGUUGCAGAAGCACUUUAUAGGGAUGGCUGAACUGAAAUUCAAACUUCUGUGUAUAUGUAAAGCAGGCACAAGAGGCUGGGGCUCUGCUCACGGUGACAAGUUUGAGGAGACACUGGGUAAGGAGUGAGAGAAGCAAAAGCCUGGGCUCUCUGGCAUUUAUCUUCAUUAGCCAGCUCUAAGGCUGGGGCUGGGACGGUGUUCUCCUAGCAUAUGCAAAGCUAUGGGUUCCAUUCCUAGCCUGGCAUGAGCCAGCACGGUGACACAAGCUGAAAUCCCAGCAUGCAGGAAGUUGUGGAAAGUCGUAUUCAACUACAUGGAGAGUUCAAAGCUAGUCUGGACAACCUGGGGUGGGGGUGCGGGGGGAGAAAGAAAUAAUAGGUUAGACAGUGAUAAAGACUUUUAUUUCUUUUGGUUUUUUUUUAUUGGCUUUUUUUUAAAGGUUUAUUUAUUUAUUAUAUGUAAGUACACUGUAGCUGUCUUCAGACACUCCAGAAGAGGGCAUCAGAUUUCAUUACAGAUGGUUGUGAGCCACCACGUGGUUGCUGGGAUUUGAACUCAGGACCUUCGGAAGAGUAGUCAGCACUCUUAACCACUGAGCCGUCUUGCCAGCCCCUCUUUUGGUUUUUUUGAGACAGGGUAAGACUUUUUUUUUCCCCCGUUCAGAAAACGGGAAAAUGGGAAAACUGAGUCUGUGUUGG